rfam:Myotis brandtii contig180480, whole genome shotgun sequence.
UGCGGUUCUCAGGUGAUGCACCCGGAACCAGAGAGGAGGGAGCCUGAUUCCGGGUGCAUCACCCGAGAACCACC